rnacentral:rRNA from 1 species
GGCGGCAGGCUUAACACAUGCAAGUCGAGCGGUAGCAGAUCUAGCUUGCUAGAUGCUGACGAGCGGCGGACGGGUGAGUAACGCGUAGGAACCUGCCCAGUAGUGGGGGAUAGCCCGGGGAAACUCGGAUUAAUACCGCAUACGCUCUACGGAGGAAAGAGGGGCUUCGGCUCUCGCUAUUGGAUGGGCCUGCGUGAGAUUAGCUAGUUGGUGAGGUAAUGGCUCACCAAGGCGACGAUCUCUAGCUGGUCUGAGAGGAUGAUCAGCCACACUGGGACUGAGACACGGCCCAGACUCCUACGGGAGGCAGCAGUGGGGAAUAUUGCACAAUGGGCGCAAGCCUGAUGCAGCCAUGCCGCGUGUGUGAAGAAGGCUUUCGGGUUGUAAAGCACUUUCAGUGGGGAGGAAGGCCUCGUAGUUAAUAGCUGCGAGGAUUGACGUUACCCACAGAAGAAGCACCGGCUAACUCCGUG